AAGAUCUCCAUCCAUAUCUAAACAUCUGACACGUUUGUGCAGUUCUUCACUCAAAAGACCCCAAAAUCACCACUUUCCUCCAAAACGUACCUAAACCUGAAAACAUACUAAAAAUACUCAAAAAAACUAUAAUGUAUUUAUAAACACAUAUAUACCAUAGCUAAAAGUGGGUAAAAUCCAUGAUAUAUCAUCAAAGUCACCACUGAAGACCUCUUUCUCUCUC
rnacentral:lncRNA from 1 species